rnacentral:rRNA from 1 species
ACUCCUACGGGAGGCAGCAGUGGGGAAUAUUGCACAAUGGGGGAAACCCUGAUGCAGCGACGCCGCGUGGAGGAAGAAGGUCUUCGGAUUGUAAACUCCUGUUGUUGGGGAAGAUAAUGACGGUACCCAACAAGGAAGUGACGGCUAACUACGUGCCAGCAGCCGCGGUAAAACGUAGGUCACAAGCGUUGUCCGGAAUUACUGGGUGUAAAGGGAGCGCAGGCGGGAAGACAAGUUGGAAGUGAAAUCUAUGGGCUCAACCCAUAAACUGCUUUCAAAACUGUUUUUCUUGAGUAGUGCAGAGGUAGGCGGAAUUCCCGGUGUAGCGGUGGAAUGCGUAGAUAUCGGGAGGAACACCAGUGGCGAAGGCGGCCUACUGGGCACCAACUGACGCUGAGGCUCGAAAGUGUGGGUAGCAAACAGGAUUAGAUACCCUGGUAGUCCACACCGUAAACGAUGAUUACUAGGUGUUGGAGGAUUGACCCCUUCAGUGCCGCAGUUAACACAAUAAGUAAUCCACCUGGGGAGUACGACCGCAAGGUUGAAACUCAAAGGAAUUGACGGGGGCCCGCACAAGCAGUGGAGUAUGUGGUUUAAUUCGACGCAACGCGAAGAACCUUACCAAGUCUUGACAUCCCUUGACAGGCAUAGAAAUAUGUUUUCUCUUCGGAGCAAGGAGACAGGUGGUGCAUGGUUGUCGUCAGCUCGUGUCGUGAGAUGUUGGGUUAAGUCCCGCAACGAGCGCAACCCUUAUGGUCAGUUACUACGCAAGAGGACUCUGGCCAGACUGCCGUUGACAAAACGGAGGAAGGUGGGGAUGACGUCAAAUCAUCAUGCCCUUUAUGACUUGGGCUACACACGUACUACAAUGGCGUUAAACAAAGAGAAGCAAGACCGCGAGGUGGAGCAAAACUCAGAAACAACGUCCCAGUUCGGACUGCAGGCUGCAACUCGCCUGCACGAAGUCGGAAUUGCUAGUAAUCGUGGAUCAGCAUGCCACGGUGAAUACGUUCCCGGGCCUUGUACACACCGCCCGUCACACCAUGAGAGCCGGGGGGACCCGAAGUCGGUAGUCUAACCGCAAGGAGGACGCCGCCGAAGGUAAAACUGGUGAUUGGGGUGAAGUCGUAACAAGGUAGCCGUAGGAGAACCUGCGGCUG